rnacentral:lncRNA from 1 species
UGUGACUGACCUGUUUUCUUUUUGUCUUCCAGGUGUGAGCUGUCAGAAGAGUGUAAAGGAUCAGGCUUUGGUUUUUCACACGCAAGUGAAGUCAUCAGGAUACAAUACAGCUCCUCAUAGGACAAUGUUUAGACCAAAGACCAGUGUUAAGAAGAAAAGCAACUCUGCCUCAACAACUAGCACAAAUACGAAAGGCCUCUUAAGUGAGUAUCCAUCCCAUUUUGAAGCACCAAGUAUGCCUUAUGCUCAUUUGACAGUUUCCACAACUCCAACCCCAGUCAGCUCUCUACAGUUCUCAGGAAAUGGAAAGCAGAUUGCGUGUGGUCUUGGAGAUGGUUCUGUUUUGUUGUAUAACUCUUCACUCACCAGCAACCCAGCUGUCUAUACAGGUAGUGGGAGAGCUUCAAAUCUGUAGUGU